ACACUCAGAUAACUUUUAUGUCGCAUAAUUUUCACCCCAUCGUAUGAAAGUUAGUUUUAAAAUGAUGCUUCAAAUUGUCUGUCUUUUUAUUUUAACAGGAGUCAUUGACGCUCAGACAACAGCACCACCUUGCGCUGCCGUAGAUGAAUGUUUCAUCAGUUUGAACGAGAACUUUCUCUUGCACGAGGAUAAAGUAGAUUUAAUUUGCAGAGAUUUCCAAGCGUUCAUGCUUUGUGUGAACAAUAUUACCUGUAUCAAAGAUGAAACAAAGC